rnacentral:rRNA from 1 species
GCACGAAGUUAGCCGGGGCUUCUUCUGCGGGUACCGUCAUUAUCGUCCCCGCCGAAAGGGCUUUACAACCCUAGGGCCUUCAUCACUCACGCGGCAUGGCUGGAUCAGGCUUGCGCCCAUUGUCCAAUAUUCCCCAC